CCUACGGGAGGCUGCAGUGAGGAAUAUUGGUCAAUGGACGAGAGUCUGAACCAGCCAAGUAGCGUGAAGGAUGACUGCCCUAUGGGUUGUAAACUUCUUUUAUAAAGGAAUAAAACGAGGCACGUGUGCCUUUUUGCAUGUACUUUAUGAAUAAGGAUCGGCUAACUCCGUGCCAGCAGCCGCGGUAAUACGGAGGAUCCGAGCGUUAUCCGGAUUGAUUGGGUUUAAAGGGAGCGUAGAUGGGUUGUUAAGUCAGUUUUGAAAGUUUGCGGCUCAACCGUAAAAUUGCAAUUGAUACUGGCAGUCUUGAGUACAGUUGAGGUAGGCGGAAUUCGUGGUGUAGCGGUGAAAUGCUUAGAUAUCACGAAGAACCCCGAUUGCGAAGGCAGCUUACUAAACUGUGACUGACAUUGAUGCUCGAAAGUGUGGGUAUCAAACAGGAUUAGAUACCCCUGUAGUC
rnacentral:rRNA from 1 species